rnacentral:rRNA from 1 species
GUAAGGGAUAUUGCGCAAUGGGCGAAAGCCUGACGCAGCAACGCCGCGUGCCCGAGGAAGGCCUUCGGGUCGUAAAGGGCUUUUAGGGCUGAAGAGCAAGGACGGUAAGCCCAAAAAAAGUGUCGGCUAACUACGUGCCAGCAGCCGCGGUAAAACGUAGGACGCGAGCGUUAUCCGGAGUUACUGGGCGUAAAGGGCAGGUAGGCGGUCGGGUAAGUGGGAUGUGAAAUCUCCCGGCUCAACCGGGAGGGAGCAUCUGAGACUGCCGGACUGGAGUGCAGCAUAGGAGCGUGGAAUUCCGGGUGGAGUAGUGAAAUGCGUAGAGAUCCGGAGGAACACCAGAGGCGAAAGCGGGGCUCUGGGCUGCAACUGACGCUGAACUGCGAAAGCCAGGGGAGCGAACGGGAUUAGAAACCCCUGUAGUCC